rnacentral:lncRNA from 1 species
AUCUUAUUCCCUAGGGCAGGAUUGCUAAACAAAGCCCUGCGGGGGGAGUUACAAGCCAUGCCCUCAGGAUGUAAUACAAGAUGGAGGCUUGAUUUCACAACCAAAACUUUCCAGAGAAUAUAGUGAUAGAUGUUGGAGGUCCCUAGUCUAGCACAACAUCUUCUAAAAGAAAAUGAAACUUUUAAAAGUUAACUACCGACAGGGUAGAGAGAAAAGAAAAGAAACAGUUUAAAAAUACCUGAGGAAGAGCCUCUCAUUCCUAUGCAACUGAUUCGUCCACCAUGGAGAUUAGUUCAAUUAUUGUCCAAUGGAGUAGAACCCCUUGGCUGGGGUAGGGGAAGGAGAAGACCGCAAGCUGGCUCUGCGAAGACCCUUGAGCCACGCGUCCCAGCCCCAGCAUGAAGCAGGACCCAGACCUCUGGUUUAAUUCAGCACAUGAAACAAUUUCUUCUCCUACCUUUUGAAAAGCAGCUGCUAAUAAGUCCCUGAGUUGGCGGGUUGGGUCUUACUCUGUCUCCCAGGUUGGAAUGCGGUGCAGUGGCCCAAUCUCAGUUCACGGCAACCUCCUCCUCCUGGGCUCAAGCGAUCCUCCUACCUCAGCCUCCCAAGUAGCUGGGACUAUGGGCAUGCACCACCAUGCCUAUUUGUGUGUGUGUGUGUAUUUUUGGUAGAAACAGGGUUUCUCCAUGUCGUUCAGGCUGGUCUCGAACUCAUGAGCUAAAGUGAUCCACCCACCUCGGCCUCCCAAAAUGUUGUGAUUACAGGCAUGAGCCACUUUGCCUGGUCCUGUAAUCCCAUUUUGAUGAAGUGUCUUAAGCCCUUGAUAUUUUUGACAAACUUUCCACAAUCAAAUUCUAAAUUAAAUAUUUUUCUUGGCCUUAAAUUAACUUUGAAAUACUCCAGAUGGGUCCUUGGAGCAUACUAAAAGGAUUUUUUUAAAUAAAAAGCGAUAUUAAACUAAUAGAGCUUAUUUGAUCUAUUAAAUUAUAUGGGAAGCAUGGUCAAAUAAUCAGUUAUGCUCAACCUUUUCUGAGUUAUGUUUGUAUGGAUGUGUUAUUAAUAUGCAUCUCGGAAAUUGUAAGAAAUCCCUGGAAAUUCAAUAAUGCAUUGAACUGGGAAACAAUUUCCAGAACUCUAAUGGAAAAACUGAUUGAUUCUUUAAAACUGCUAACCUAACAUCAAGAAAAACAAAAAUUAACUGAAUGCCAAGGAAAUGCUUUGGCAGGUUUUCAUGCUAAAUCAGAAAGUACUGAAACUGUCAAGAUACACAAUUUGAAUGAACCUCAUGAGAUUGAUCCAGGUCAAAUUAUUUAUGUUAACUUAUUUAAUAAACAUGACUAUGCACUUGAAUGGGAGAAACAAAACUGGUAUUUAAAAGGAUAUACAAAAAAUGUUAAGCAUGGACUCAUGGAGAAUCUAGUUCUUUCAGAGUCCGUAAAGCUUCUAUUAUUAAAAUCUCUGCACUUUGUGACUUAUAAUGAAAUAGUUAAAAUGAUAAAAAUUAUUUUUAAAAAUUGGUAGAGUGACUGUAAUUGCUCACCUGGUUUAUAACCAAUGUUUCAUGGCUCAAACCUAUAAUUCUGGUAAGAAAAUAAAAAUCUC